AGCCCCGCCAUGAGUAAGGGGAAGGCGGGUAGCAAGAAGGUUAGCCUUUUGCCAGGACAAACGCGAAGGGGCAGACCCGGGGCAUGGAGAGAAGUGCCUAUUGCACUUUAGCACCUGGGUGACUUUGGCACUUUGGUGUCCAUCCAGCAGUGAGCGGACGCUCACCGCCACUCCUCGAGGAAGGCACCAUUCUUUCCAUCUCAAGGUUCUGUCUGCUCCUGUCUUCCUGCCGAGCCUGUGGGAAGAAGGUCCCUACUUUGAUGUGACAACCAGAAAUGCCUCCAGACAUUGGCAAACGUCCCCUGGGGGACAAAGUCACCCCUGGUUGAGAAAACACUGCUUUAAUGGUUAAUGUCAGGGCUCUAGAGCCACCAGGACGUGAGGUCACAUUCCUGGUCUGUCACUUCUAGUUUUGGAGGUAGGGCAGGUGCCUUGAGCAUCAUGCCUAGACCAGUUGCUUAACAUUUCCAUACCUCAGUUUCCACAUCAGUCGGUAAAAUGGGAAUAAUCAUGGCAUCUCCCUCAAAGCAGUAGCUGUGAAAAGGGAGACAAUGCGUGCGAAAGACUUAGGGGGGUACUUGGCCCACAGUAGGGUUAAAUAGAUAUUAGUUAUAAUUUUGCCAUAAGCAGACAUGCUACAUUUUCAAACAGCUGACACAGACUUCGAAUACAGUUUGUUUUUCUCCAA